GGAAGAGGCAGGAGUGGCCCAAGUGUUCUCGCGCCGUGGUAGUUUUUCAAAGUUCUAGCUAGUUAGUCGUGUGUGCAAAGGUUACGAACGGUGUGUUAUCGUGUGUGCUGGUAGCUCAAAGCAGAUUCGUGACCACGCCGACACGACGCCCGACAACCCACACCGAACCAUCGAGGCCAUUCUUGACCCCACCAUCAGCUUGCGAGGUUUUCCCGGGGCACGCCGGAAGAGGGACGCGAUCGCCAAUCAACGCGCGCCCUAGGCAGGGCAUCACCGAAGAAGAAGAAGAGAGAAGAAGAAGAGAGAAGGCAACCGUUUUUCCGUUCCGUUGGUGACGACCGACGGACAUCGACGCACGUGCCGCGUCGC